AUUAAGCCACCCGCCUCCCCAGUCUCCCAGCCCUCAUUGUCCCUGGGGUCGCCAAUUAGCCCAGGCGCCCCGCGUACCCGCUGCUCCGGUGCCCCUAGGCCUACUUAACCCUUCAGGGCCUGCCACUAGGGGCCCAGGACAGCCAAGCCGCCAGCAGACGGAAGUGCGCACAGCGCGUGUGUGGGAGUGACGGGGAUCGAGGGGUCGGUGAGGCCUGUUGGUGACCUAGCAAGUCGCCUAGGAGCUCUGUUAAGAAUAUGGGGGUCUGAGGGGACUGUGAGUGUUGGUGUCGGACUGUGACUCACCGGAGAACCCGAACACUUCAGGUGUGGGUGAGGGGCUCCGUGAGACCCCUGGCGUCCCAACCACAGGGCUUCUCAGCCCUAGGGGACUUCAUUUCUCUUCGGUUAAUUUGAUUCUUCCGAGCCUCCCCUGCUGCCGCGGAAAUCCAGAGCACUGGCGACCUGGCCCUGCCCUCCCUCCCAAAGGGCGCAGAACUGGGGGCCACCUCCCCAGCGUACAGCCAACUAGGGCGCUGAGCACUCCCUGGGGACCGUGGUUGCGUUCAGAUUUGCUCACCCCAGGAUACACGCAUGCGAACGCCCAGUUCAAAGCCCUGGUCCCCUUUUGCCAGGUAUAGGAUUUUUUUUUUUUUUAAGACUGAAAUUUAAACUCCGAGCCUGCUUUCCUCCACUCUCCAAAUCCAAUUCCGCUUCCUCCCGGUUUCACUGUCCUUGACCCCCAAGUUUGGAGCACCAGCCCGUAGGCAGUGUCCGGCACAAGGCGAAGAGAUAGGUGCUUUAAGAAAUAAGCAGCAAUUGGGAAGAAUAGAGGCGAGGUCAGGACUAGAAACUCGAGCAAAGGGAGGAAGCCCGAGCUCCGGGACCUCUCAGGUCGGUCGCUGUGCACUGAAAGUGUUGGUGCCUCUGUCUGAGCAGGCUAGGACUGUUUUGCCCUCGGGAUUACUUUUGGACUCUCUGGAGUCUCAAGUUUGUUCCACCUUAUUUUAAGGGCAGGGGACACCGAAGCCACUCUCAAAGUCCCGGGUUCCAAGAAUCGACCGCCACUGCUUUUUAAAAGAACCAUUGGGCAGAAAUGCUCCCCGCCCGCAGGCCGCGGCAACUCCUCACAUGGCCACGAGAUGGCGCUCCAGGCCAGGGGCCGGGCCGUGACUCCACAGCCCGCCCCUCCGGCUAGAUCCUCCGGUGGACUGAGAGCCGCGGUGGGAUCGAAGGGGAACAGAGCCACCGACAGGCGUUCAUCCAGGCCCAGAGACCCGCAGAGGCAGCCGAGGGACCGAGGGGCGCCGGACUGGGCCUGCGGACACAGGGGCCGGGGGACGCGAAGCUCUGGUUGAGGCCUUCUCCUUGAGACGGUCCUGCAGUGCCAGCUCCCGAACCUUCAAGGCACGUCUGCAGACGACGACCCUUCGCUUCCUCUGUGCGUGCUCGGGCUAGGGCUCUUUCCAUCCCUCGCAUGGCAGGGAGGCGACCUGAUUUCUGCCUUCCUAACUUCUCAGAAGCGGGACUGUGGGCUGGGAUCUGUGGGCGCUGGACAUCAGCUCUGGACUGCGGGAGGCGACCCACUCGGACUUGGAGGGUGAUUGUAAGGUUGAAGCCGCUCGGUGUAAGACUGGAGGGCCGGGAUCCUUGCUCCUCGGCAGCAAGGUCUGCCUCAGCUCCUACCUCUGUCUCCUCACCAGUCCCAGUGGGGUCUUCCAGGUUGAAUGUCGGGAUGUGCAGGGCACAGACAGACUCCAGAUAUGCAGGAUAGCCCCUCUGAAGGUGCACACCUAGGGUCCAGUCUGUGCCUGUCUCCCCUUCCCCCACCACCGGGUACCAGAGACCCAAGGGAAGGAUUGGGUCUGGAUUAUUCCCGCGGGAGGUGGUGGGGAAUGAGAAGUUCCUGAGGGUCAGUAUGAGAAUCUUCCUGAGUCCUGAGUCGGUUUGAAAGGAGGAAGGAUGGGUGUGGAGAUGUGAGGCUUGGUGGCCUGGAAAUACCAGAGUUAGAGUGGGUGGCCAGGUUUGGAAGCCUGAUCCCAUCCUACCUUUAUGUCCCCAGAUGAGCUCUGCCACCCUGGGAGAUUAACCCUACAUGCAUUUUCCAAAGGCACAUGACUAGAAAGCAACCCAGUUAACACCAGUCUAGAGACACUUCCACUUCCACAUAAACACCAGCUUGUGUUUGUCCUGUACUAGGCUCUCCGCAUUUCCCUCUUCAAGGUAUAACAGAGGAUAGGAGCGAAUCUUUGGUGAUUUAAUAAUUAUCUACAUGUCCAUCUGCUGAAACAGCUGCUUGGUAGGAAAGCCAGACAGGAGAUAAGUACAAGGUCAAACUUUGCCCGUGUGAGACCUUGGAUAAUGUAACAUUCUUCUCUGGGUUCCAAAAUCCACACCUGUAAAAUAAGUGGUCUGGACUAAAAUCAGAUUGAUCAGUGGAUGACCAGAUGACCUUGGUCCAGCUUGCAGUGAGCCCUAGCCUCAACUGCUUCAGACAAGAGGCAAGGACUAUGCUCCCAUUUACUUACUGCUUGAGGAAAUAGAGUAGGAGGAAUAGGCGGGCCAUUGCAGACCUUGGGGACCUUGGCUGUUGCUUGGGGGUAGGGGAAGGGCUGGUGGCCUGGAUGAAUUCCCAAUUAGGAAACAGCAUUCCAGGUCCUGAAACCCUCAAGGAACCAGCUGGCUCCAGCUGCCUCCAAUUCCUCUGGGAUGUCAUUGUCAUUCCCCUCUGCCUUCCACCUCAAAGCUAGUUUGGAAAGGCACCCACGGUGAGUUUUGAGUCUAGCACCACAGUUUGUUGAUUGUGUGUGACUUCUCCCAAAAGAGAAAGAGUUUCAGGCGCUCCUGUUUAAGGGUAUCUCCCAGAUCUGGAAUACUCUGGGCUAAGUCCUUAUUGAGUGAAAAGCUUUGCCAUGUUCAAAGCAUUGUCCCACGUGGGGUCUCAUUGAACCUUUACUGGCAAGGUGGAGAUUUUCAAUCCCCAUUUCACAGACAAUGAAUUGAGGUCAGAGAAAUGAAGUGAGGUGCCCAAGGCCAUCCAGCAAAGGACAGAGCUCUUACACAAUACCAUGGGCCUGACCCUUGGCAACAUGCGCUAAUGAAGUGAUGACGGCUGAGAGGCAGCUUGUUGAUGGGAAAAAGCUAAGGGCCUGGGCAAGUGCCCUCUGUGGCCGGAUGCUGAGCCCUGAUGUCCUGGCUAGAAGUUGCAUCUGUAGGAGAACCAGAGCCAAGUCCAGGAGACUUGGCAAAGAGCAGCCUUGAGGCUUCCUGUCAGCCUAGCUGGACCUUCCAGGAAUGCCUUGGUAGGAGCAGAGGCUUCUCAUGUGUGAAACAAUGGUGGGGACGUAGAGAGGGCUACCCAAAAUGCUGUGGACUAUAUUCCUGCCCAUUAUUUCUUUCUCAAAGAGAACAGGAUGUCCCCUGGCCCUGUAGUGUCUGUCCUCGGCCUGACAAGAGGAGCUAUGCACCCAACUACAUGAAGACGUUUGGUGGUGGAGGUUUUCCCUGGAGAAAUCAGAGCAGUUACCAGCUCCCCUGGUCUCUGAGGCUUUCCCCUUCCCCUAGUUUGCUGGGGCUAAUCUUUUCCCAUCCAACCCCAAUGUGCUGCUGUGUCUCCUCUUGGGAGAGAAUAUAUUUAUUUAAUGUCUGUCUCCUACAGGAACAUGGUUCCUUUAGUGGGGUGGGAGGUGAUGGUGUCUAUUUUGUGCAUUGCUGUGACCCAGAUUUAAAAAUGUUUAACACAUAGCAGGGAAAGAAUGAAUGAAUUGCACCCUCCAGAUGCAGGGCCUACACUUGGUCCUUCCAGGAUAUCCCUGCCUGGGCCCUGGAACAGAAGCCCCUGCUCCAAGUUCAUUCAGAGACCAUUGUGGAGAGCUCCUGAGGGUCUCGGCUGUGUGUAUCUUUGCCAAUACUGACCAGCCACUUCUAGUCCUCCAGCCAUGCUUCCAAGGAGGUGUGGCACCCUCUGGGCUAGGAAGCACCAACUUUGUCCCCUUCCAGGGCCGGUGGGUGGGUGGAGACAAUCUGGGAUCUUUGGGGAAACUUCUAGCAUAUCUGCCCCCUCCCCCGCCCCAUCUUCCCUGAGCAGCAGAGGACCUUCUUGAAAUGCACCUGGGGUGCAGGGGCUCUCCUGUUUAAAGCCCUCCAUAGGCUUCUCAUGCUUUGGGGAAAGGUGAAGGGUGGAGCCAGCCUGUGGAGCCAGCCUGUGGAGCCAGCCUGUGGAGCCAGCCCGUGCCUACUUGGCCCCCACCCCAGGCCUCCAACCCCAGUGUCCUGAUCUAGGUUAAUCUUGAUGUCCUUGCCUCACAGGCUUUCCUUUCCCUCACCUGAGAUGCCCUUCCUGCUUUCCUUUAAAACUGGGCUGGCCUAUUGGCUCCUCUAGGUCUUCUCCCUUCUGAGUUAGAUGUCCAUGCACAUGUUGUUCUGUUUUUGCAGUACAUAGGCCACUGGGGCAUUACUUUCUUGGGCUGCCAAAUCCCUGGACCCUAGGAAUCUGGCCUAGACUUGGAAAUGAGCACAGCAUCCUGAGUCAGGGCCUUGUGCAUGCUAGGCCAGCACUGAGCUACAUCUCCAGCUCUGUUUAUUUUUUUCUUUUGAGACAGGAUCUCGCUAAGUUGCCCAGGUUGACCUAGAACUUGCAAUUCUCCUGCCUCAGCCUCCCCAGCACCUGGAACUAUACGCAUGUGCCACUAUUCCCUAUAUCCAUAUUGUUUUAUGGUAGUCAAUGACUGUGAGACCUUGGCAAGUCACUUUAUCCCUCACCUAUCACUUCUUCAAAAUGGAGAUAACAGGGUUGGGCUUGUGGCUCAAUGGUAGAUCGCUUGCCUGGCAUGUGUGAGGCACUGGGUUUGAUUCUCAGCAACACAUAUAAAUAAAUAAAUGUCCAUGAACAGCUAAAAAAAUGUUUUUUAAAAAUGGAGAUAACAGCACCUAGCUCAGGGGGUUGGUUGAAGAUUAAAUGUCACGCUGUUUAUAACUAUCUGGCACAGAGACCAGCACAGUGAAUGUGGUUUUCUGCCUCUCCUGAGGAGGCCUUGCCCCUUUGGAGGAGCCUAAGGGAGUCUGAGGAUGCAGGCCUUGGGGGAAAAUCUAGGAUGAGGAAAAUUCCCCUGGCCCAGGGAAGUACCAGGGUUGAUCCUGUCACAUGGAGGUGACCAGCCUACACUGGAGGCCAGGCAGAGGCCACUGGGGCAUUACUUUCUUGAGCUGCCAAAUCCCUGGGCCCUAGGAAUCUGGCCUAGACUUGGAAAUGACCAGAGCGUCCUGAGUCUUAGGCUGAGCAUUGAGCUUCUGAGCUGCUGCAGAGAAAUCUGGAGAGCCAUGGAGAUCCGUGCUCUUGUGCACCAAUGGGGUCCUCUUUUAAGGAACCCACAGCCAGCAGAGAGAUUUCUUGCUGGAGGUGGGAUUGCUGGUGACCUUGCUGGAUGAAUCUGGGUCUCUGGUGAGAGACAGAGCUGUGCGGGCAAUGAUCCCCUCCUACCACUAGGUGGGGAUCUGGGGUCGUCCAGGCCUGGAACCCCUGCCCUUUUCUCCCCCAGACUCUCAGGCCAGGGUUUCCUAUCUGCCCGGAUGUGACUUUGCUGGGGACCUGGGGAUCUGGACCACACUGUGUGCCUCCACUCUAACUUCUGGCUAGAUCCUGCUUCCAGGCUGUAACACUGACGUAAGUGAAUAAGGAUAUGGACUUUAUGUAGCCAGAGACAUGAGUUCAAAUCCUGGCUGCACCUUGAGCUCUGUAGUUUUGACUUCUGAAGCCUCAAGAUUUCCUUGUCUAUAAAAUAAAUUCAGAUCCCUUUAGUCUGUAAAGUGUAAGAGUCUGCUCAGGUUGUCCUCGAAAUUAGGGGAAUCAACAGUGUUCUGUGUUCUCAGAUCCCUCCAGUAGGACAGAUGACCCAGAAGACGCUGAACCUGGGACAGUUCCCAUCUGUCCCAUCCAACAAGUACUCAGAAUAACGGGCAUUAGGCUGUUCAUUCUCCAAGACAGGACACACCUGUCUGGAAUGGCCCUCUGCCUUCUCUCCUGACUCCCCAAGUGCCCUCCCCUUCUUCAUGGCUCAUUGGACCCCUCCUCCCUCCUUCUGGGCUCCAGAAACCUUGGUAUGUCCCUCUCUGCUGGCAGUGACUCAUUGGGUCAGAUAUUGGGGUCAGGGACAGGCCUUGGCACAAGGCAGAUGCUUGAUACCCAUAUGAGCAUGUUACCAGAAGAUGAGGAAGACUUCAUGGAAGAAGUGACCUGAAAAGAUGCAGUGUGGGAUUCCCAAGGCCCCGGUACAGGGUAUUGGGGCUGUGUGGGGAAGGGAUUGGCACUGUUCCUGGCUUAGGGGACAGUGUGAACUGACUCAGGGCAAGCAACUCUGUGAGGAAGGCGCCAAGGUGCAGUGAGGAGGAGGUGGCUGGGAGACACCAGAGCCCCAGGGCUGGGAUGGGAAAAAGUAAUUGAAACUUAGAGGGCUUCCCGAGAGCCCAAGUCCCAAACCUGAGGCUUCUCUGGCCACACUGGUGGGAACAGAGCUGAGAACCAGUGCAGUGUCUCAUGGGUCAUGGUCAUGCCCUCUUCGGGGGUCACACCUCCACCCCCAUGCCCUCCCCACCGUACCAUGCUCCACCUCUUCCUCAGCCACCCCUGCUAGGUUCAUCCAAAGAAUUGAAACCCAAUAUGGGGCUGGGAGCCCCCAUGGCUGCCUGAUCUCCCAGUUGGGGGCAGCUUUCAAUUCUCUCCCCAGCUCAGUUUUCUGGGGAAGCAAAGUGGAAAGAGCAUGGACUCGGGUCAGACAGACCUGACCUUCACGCUGGCUCUGCUCCCCUGCAGCUGGGUCACCAUGGGCAGGUGGCUGAACUUCUCUGAACAGAGCCUUUUUUCCUUCCUGAGAGCCAGGUGUGAGAGCCCUUCACCCAGGUUGCUGUGAGGUUCAAGGAGCCAAUGGGCUUCACCUCAAGCAGCUCUGCCACUUUUCUGCCCUUGAGCAGACUGUGUUUGACCAUCUCUGCCCCUGACAGUGACCCCACAAUGCUCCGCCACUGUCCCCUGCAUGGCGUCUUCAUGAGAGCAUCUAAGCCUUUCCACUGGCCCUACCCUGGCUGAGGCUGAAUCUCUGGCUGUUUGUGGCAUCAUCAGGGACACCCUCCCUGGUUCUCACCACUUCCUGAGCCAGAGAUCUCUCUCCUUGGUGUGCAGGCCAGGGCGGGAAGGGCUCCCCACAAUUGCUUUCACAUUAUUUCCACAAACACAUAUUGGACACCAAUGUGUGCCAGGCACACUUUCUCACUUGCUCAGAGGUUCUCAUCUUGUUGUUCUUUUCUUUUUAAAAAUUGAGAUAUUGCCAGGCAAGAUGACGCAUGCCUGUAAUCCCAGCAGUUUGGGAGGCUGAUGCAGGAGGAUCCCAAGUUCAAAGCCAGCCUCAGCAAUUUAGCAAGGCCCUAAGUAGCUUAGCGAGACACUGUCUCAGAAUUAAAAAAAAAAAAAUGGAACUGGGGAUGUGGCAUAUCAAUAUGUUCAUCCCUGGUACUAAAUAAAUAAAUAAGAAAGAUUUUACUCACGAAUCAUAAAACUCACAGUUAAGUGUGUCCAUGCCAGUGGUGUUUGCUUUUGUUUUUGUUUUGAGGGACAGAGUCUCACUGUGUUGUUUAGGCUUGCUUUGAAUUCCUGAGCUCAAGCAAUCCUCCUGCCUCAGCCUCCCUGAAUAGCUGGGACUAUAGGCACAAACCAUUGCACCUGGCUACUUCUGUGGUUUUUAGAAUAGUCACAAGAUCAUACAUCCAUCACCACUGUUUUUUCCUAGAACAUUGUAAUCACCCCCGCAAACAAUCCUGACCCCUCAGUUGCCACUGCUUCUGCCUCAGCCCUUGACAACCAUGUGUCUGCUUUCUGUCUCCAAGGACCUGACUAUUCUAGACGUUUCAUAUGCAUGGAAUUACACAUGUAUGUACGUGAUUUUUGUGUGUGCUUGUUUUCUUUGAUUUAGCUUAAUGUAUUGAAGACUCAUCCGUGUUGUAACACAUAUCAAUAUGUUCAUCCUUUUUAUGGCUGAAUAGAAUUCCAUUGUAUGGAAAUAUCACAUUUUAUUUGUCCAUCAUCAAUUGAUGGAUGUUUGGGU
rnacentral:lncRNA from 1 species